UACGUAGGGACCAAGCGUUGUUCGGAUUUACUGGGCGUAAAGGGCUCGUAGGUGGCCAACUAAGUCAGACGUGAAAUCCCUCGGCUUAACCGGGGAACUGCGUCUGAUACUGGAUGGCUUGAGAUUGGGAGAGGGAUGCGGAAUUCCAGGUGUAGUGGUGAAAUGCGUAGAGAUCCGGAGGAACACCAGUGGCGAAGGCGACACGCUGGGCCGUACCUGACGCUAAAGCGCGACAGCAUGGGGAGCAAACGGG
rnacentral:rRNA from 1 species